UGGGGAAUAUUGCACAAUGGGCGCAAGCCUGAUGCAGCCAUGCCGCGUGUAUGGAGAAGGCCUUCGGGUUGUAAAGUACUUUCAGCGGGGAGGAAGGUGUUGAGGUUAAUAACCUCAGCAAUUGACGUUACCCGCAGAAGAAGCACCGGCUAACUCCGUGCCAGCAGCCGCGGUAAUACGGAGGGUGCAAGCGUUAAUCGGAAUUACUGGGCGUAAAGCGCACGCAGGCGGUCUGUCAAGUCGGAUGUGAAAUCCCCGGGCUCAACCUGGGAACUGCAUUCGAAACUGGCAGGCUAGAGUCUUGUAGAGGGGGGUAGAAUUCCAGGUGUAGCGGUGAAAUGCGUAGAGAUCUGGAGGAAUACCGGUGGCGAAGGCGGCCCCCUGGACAAAGACUGACGCUCAGGUGCGAAAGCGUGGGGAGCAAACA
rnacentral:rRNA from 1 species